GAUGAACGCUGGCGGCGUGCCUAAUACAUGCAAGUCGAGCGAACAGACGAGGAGCUUGCUCCUCUGACGUUAGCGGCGGACGGGUGAGUAACACGUGGAUAACCUACCUAUAAGACUGGGAUAACUUCGGGAAACCGGAGCUAAUACCGGAUAAUAUGUUGAACCGCAUGGUUCAAUAGUGAAAGACGGUUUUGCUGUCACUUAUAGAUGGAUCCGCGCCGCAUUAGCUAGUUGGUAAGGUAACGGCUUACCAAGGCAACGAUGCGUAGCCGACCUGAGAGGGUGAUCGGCCACACUGGAACUGAGACACGGUCCAGACUCCUACGGGAGGCAGCAGUAGGGAAUCUUCCGCAAUGGGCGAAAGCCUGACGGAGCAACGCCGCGUGAAUGAUGAAGGUCUUCGGAUCGUAAAACUCUGUUAUUAGGGAAGAACAAAUGUGUAAGUAACUAUGCACGUCUUGACGGUACCUAAUCAGAAAGCCACGGCUAACUACGUG
rnacentral:rRNA from 1 species